rnacentral:lncRNA from 1 species
AGAGGAAGUGAUAUAAAUAUUAUCAAUACUGAUAAUAUGUCUUUUACCAUUAUCACCAAAGGUCACCACCCCUCCUCCCUUUGCCUCAAGGAUGAUAAAUCAUGCCCUAUCAUCCAUCAUGUGUCUUGAGCAGCCACUAUUAAGAUACUAUCUUUCUUUUUUUUUGGUUGCAAAAUGUACCUAUAAAGAAAAAUCAAAU